UUCUCCCACUGCACAGGAACAACUCAGGCAUCAGCAUCUGUGAAUGAGAGACAGGGGUUAGACAUGUACACAGUGGGAAUUGAACUUACAAUUUCUGAAUUUGCUGGACCAGAACACUUACCCAUUGAGCCACUCCCAUCCUUGGGGACCACCUCUCCAUCACCCUUCGAGACCUUCUCUCCCCCGCCCUUGGGGACCACCAACGUUGCUCAGGUGCAGCGCUCAGGGAUUCGAACCAGCAACCUCUACCUCCUGAGUGAAAUGAAGAAGGUGAGACCUCGGAAAUUGGGGAAAAACAAGAGGAGGAACUGAGGCUCGACCCCUCAAGAUCAGCGUUCGGAGUCCACGAUACUGCCUUCACGCCACCGUCGUGUUCGGUGCUCAGGAGCGUAGAAGAAGCUUGUCUGCAGCCCAGCAAGCAAUUGUGGCCCGGGCUAUCUGUGCAGAAACCCAGUGCGUACGUUCUGAGGUGCGACAGUGUCCCAGGCGCUGGGGUAUGUACAUUUUACCUCUCAGACUCAGGUACCAGGGCCUCGGUGUCGUGACUCUGGGCUGGUGCAUGUCCCAAGACUUAGAAUGUCUAGCAUGAGAAUCCAUGUCGUAUGGACUAGGCCUGCUACAGGUCCCAAGACUUGUGAGGUCCACGGCAGAUACAAGUCUUACGCCCUCUGACAGUGCAGCCACCGGCUGCAACAAGUCGUAAGACCGUCUGGAAUCUGCCACAGGUGGACUCAAGUCCCAAGACCUUGUAGAUCCACUGCAGAUGCAAGUCUUAAGACCUCUGAGAGUGUGGCGCCCUGCUGCAACAAGUCUUAAGACCAUCUGGAAUCUGCCACAGGUGGUUGCAAGUCUCAAGACCUCUAGAUGCACGGCAGGUACAAGUCUUACGCCCACUGAGAGUGCAGCCACCGGCUGCAACAAGUCUUAAGACCAUCUGGAAUCUGCCACAGGUGGUUGCAAGUCUCAAGACCUCUGCAAUGUGCCAUGUCCUAAGACCUCUGUGUUUGUCAUAUGCUCGAGCUAAGUCCAAAGAUAUGUGACACUCAGCCCAGUGCGUGUACCAGUACCAGGUCCUGAAAUCUGAUUGGUAGCUAUGCUGCCCAGCACCAAGGCGUACGCAUGAGGGUAGCACUGUGGCCGUCUGGCAGAUGAGCUGACCAUGCGGAGGAGAAGCAGGAAGUCCUCAGAUGGAGGAGCUAUGUUAUCAGGGGGGCUGGACUCGCCACUUCCCCUUCACUCACUCCACACACACGACUCCGCCCUUCGAGACCAUCUCUCCCCCGCCCUUGGGGACCACCUCACCAUCGCACUUCGGAACCGUCUCUCCCCCAACCUUGGGGACCACCAACAUUGCUCAGGUGUGGCACUCGGGGAUUCGAACCAGCCACCUCUGCCUCCUGAGCAUUGAAGUGAAUUUGGUGAGGCAUCAGUAAUGGAAACACAAAAGGAGGAACUGGGGUUCAAACCCUCAAGCUCAUAGUUCAGAGCCCAUGACACUACCUUCACGCCACCAUCAUGUUCAGUCUUCGGUUGGACGCAGCAGUAGAUAGAAUAGGACACUACAGAAAUGUAAGAGAAGUAAAAGACAAAGGGAUGGAUUUGAACCCAGGAGCUUUGGGCCCACAGGUGGGGACUUUAUCUUUGUGCCAACAUCUCCGGAGUGUUUGGUGUGGCUCUGCAGUGGACUGAAGAAGAUGAGACCACAGACACACAAAGUAAAGAUGAGGGUGCUGGGUUUGAACCUACAGCCUCUUGAUCCUGAGUCAAUGACAAUACCAUCGCACCACAGUUGCCUUAACACGUUUUCCUGUGAUCUAGUAGACUGAUGAUGAUGAGCUGACAGAACCAUAAGAGAGAAGUAAAGAGGAGAUUCGAACCCUGUUGCUUUGCAUUCGUAGGCAAAGACAUUGCCAUUGAGCCAACCACACUUUGGCGUUUCUGCCUCGAAUAUGAUAGAAUAUGAUGAGAAUGUAGAAGCACAUGAGAAGUAAAGACAACAGGUGAGGUUUGAACCCUUGACGUCUGGGCCUGUAGACCGACACCAUUCCAUUACGCCACUGCUGCCUUACUGUUCUGCACUGAUGUAGAAGACAGAAGAUUAGCUGACAGAGACACAAGAGAAAGAAAGAAAGAGAGGGAUUCAAACCCUCGACCUCUUGGUCCAGAGACGGUGACUCUACCAUUAGAGCCAUGGGAACCUGUAUGCCUCAGCAGCUUUAACAGCCUCAUAAGCUGGUUGACAUAAUUCAACUGUAAGAGAUAUUUUUUUCCAUUUAGUAUUCUUGCAUUUUGACAUUUUCGAAGUGCCAUUCUAAUAUAUCUAUAUCGCAGGAUACAUUCAGAAGCACUACCAGUUAUUAAUACGAAAGCUGCAGACAAUGCGUAAGUAGACCGUGGAGUCGAACUGCCGACUUACUGACUGCAAAGCCAAUGCCUUAACCACUACACUACAGACACAGCACAGUUAUUACAGGAGGCGAUGAUGCUGUUCUACACUGGGCUUAAUGCUUAUGAGAGUGAUGCAGUACUACACUGCUGCUACAGAGGGCUUAAUGCUUAUGAGAGUGAUACAGUACUACACUGCUGCUACAGAGGGCUUAAUGCUUAUGAGGGUGAUGCAGUGCUACACUGCUCCUACAGUGGGCUUAAUGCUUAUGAGAUAAUGCAGUACUUCACUGCUGCUACAGAGGGCUUAAUGCUUAUGAGGGUGAUGCAGUACUACACUGCUGCUACAGAGGGCUUAAUGCUUAUGAGGGUGAUGCAGUUCUACACUGCUGCUACAGAGGGCUUAAUGCUUAUGAGGGUGAUGCAGUUCUACACUGCUGCUACAGAGGGCUUAAUGCUUAUGAGAGUGAUUCAGUGCUACACUGCUGCUACAGAGGGCUUAAUGCUUAUGAGGGUGAUGCAGUACUACACUGCUGCUACAGAGGGCUUAAUGCUUAUGAGAGUGAUUCAGUGCUACACUGCUGCUACAGAGGGCUUAAUGCUUAUGAGGGUGAUGCAGUACUACACUGCUGCUACAGAGGGCUUAAUGCUUAUGAGGGUGAUGCAGUACUACACUGCUGCUACAGAGGGCUUCAUGCUUAUGAGGGUGAUGCAGUACUACACUGCUGCUACAGAGGGCUUCAUGCUUAUGAGGGUGAUGCAGUUCUACACUGCUGCUACAGAGGGCUUACUGCUUAUGAGAGUGCUUAUGAGACACACAAAAGAAGCAAGAAGGAAGAAAAUUGUUUGAACCCAAAAGCUCUGCAUCCCAAGUUUUAUGACAUUUUAGUUCAAAUGUUGAAAAAUUUAAAACACUUAACAUGAUGUUCUUAAAAUGAACACAAGUGAAAAAGUAAAAACCACAGCCUGACAUAUAGAAGCUACUUUGUGAAAGCUUUUGUGAUUUCAAGUCCCAUCCAAUCAGAUGACCUGUAAUGUAAUGUAGGUUAAAGCUUACAGGCGCCUUUCUGUGCCUUUGAAUGGCUUCCUUCACAUUGAUUGAUUGAUAGACUGCCAAUCUAGCUACUAAUGCACUUGAGAAAGCACUAACUUUCUCUGUGAAAUGCAGUGGGUGUGUUAGGGGCAGGGUUAUAAAAAGCACAUUUUCAUAUAAAUAAAGAUGUAUGUGCUUUGUAAUUUUAUUCUCCAUUAAAUGUCAGCCUUGAAA